AGGUUAAGUGAAUAAGGGCGCACGGUGGAUGCCUUGGCACUAGGAGCCGAUGAAGGACGGGACUAACACCGAUAUGCUUUGGGGAGCUGUACGUAAGCUAUGAUCCAGAGAUUUCCGAAUGGGGGAACCCAACAUCUUUAAUAGGAUGUUACGAUUGUGUGAAUACAUAGCACAUUCGAGGUAGACGCAGAGAACUGAAACAUCUAAGUACCUGCAGGAAGAGAAAGAAAAUUCGAUUCCCUGAGUAGCGGCGAGCGAAACGGGAAAAGCCCAAACCAGCAAGCUUGCUUGUUGGGGUUGUAGGACUCCAAUAUGGUAGUUCUUUCAGAUAGUCGAAUGACUUGGAAAAGUCAGUCAAAGAGGGUAAAAACCCCGUAGACGAAAUGUGGAAGACACCUAGGAGGAUCCUGAGUACGGCGGAACACGAGAAAUUCCGUCGGAAUCCGGGAGGACCAUCUCCCAAGGCUAAAUACUCCCUAGUGACCGAUAGUGAACCAGUACCGUGAGGGAAAGGUGAAAAGCACCCCGGAAGGGGAGUGAAAUAGAACCUGAAACCGUGUGCCUACAACAAGUCAAAGCCCGUUAAUGGGUGAUGGCGUGCCUUUUGUAGAAUGAACCGGCGAGUUACGAUUGCAUGCGAGGUUAAGUUGAAGAGACGGAGCCGCAGCGAAAGCGAGUCUGAAUAGGGCGUUUGAGUAUGUAGUCGUAGACCCGAAACCAUGUGAUCUACCCAUGUCCAGGUUGAAGGUGCGGUAAAACGCACUGGAGGACCGAACCCACGUACGUUGAAAAGUGCGGGGAUGAGGUGUGGGUAGCGGAGAAAUUCCAAACGAACUUGGAGAUAGCUGGUUCUCUCCGAAAUAGCUUUAGGGCUAGCCUCGGAAUUGAGAAUGAUGGAGGUAGAGCACUGUUUGGACUAGGGGCCCAUCUCGGGUUACCGAAUUCAGAUAAACUCCGAAUGCCAUUCAUUCAUAUCCGGGAGUCAGACUGUGAGUGAUAAGAUCCAUAGUCGAAAGGGAAACAGCCCAGACCACCAGCUAAGGUCCCAAAAUAUAUGUUAAGUGGAAAAGGAUGUGGGGUUGCACAGACAACUAGGAUGUUGGCUUAGAAGCAGCCACCAUUUAAAGAGUGCGUAAUAGCUCACUAGUCGAGUGACCCUGCGCCGAAAAUGUACCGGGGCUAAACAUAUUACCGAAGCUGUGGAGUACACCUUUAGGUGUAUUGGUAGGAGAGCGUUCUAAGGGCGUCGAAGGCAGAUCGUGAGGACUGCUGGAGCGCUUAGAAGUGAGAAUGCCGGUAUGAGUAGCGAAAGACAGGUGAGAAUCCUGUCCACCGAAUGACUAAGGUUUCCUGGGGAAGGCUCGUCCGCCCAGGGUUAGUCGGGACCUAAGCCGAGGCCGACAGGCGUAGGCGAUGGAUAACAGGUUGAUAUUCCUGUACCCGUUGUUUUUGUUUGAGCAAUGGAGGGACGCAGGAGGCUAAGGAAUGCAGACGAUCGGAAAUGUCUGUCCAAGCAGUAAGUCUGAAGAGGAGUCAAAUGCUUCUUUUCUUAAGGACAAGCUGUGAUGGGGAGGGAAAUAAUAGUACCGAAGUUCCUGAUGUCACACUGCCGAGAAAAGCUUCUAGUGAGAAAACAGCGGCCCGUACCGCAAACCGACACAGGUAGUCGAGGAGAGAAUCCUAAGGUGAGCGAGAGAACUCUCGUUAAGGAACUCGGCAAAAUGACCCCGUAACUUCGGGAGAAGGGGUGCUGAUCAUACGAUCAGCCGCAGUGAAUAGGCCCAAGCGACUGUUUAUCAAAAACACAGGUCUCUGCAAAAUCGUAAGAUGAAGUAUAGGGGCUGACGCCUGCCCGGUGCUGGAAGGUUAAGAGGAGUGCUUAGCGCAAGCGAAGGUACGAAUUGAAGCCCCAGUAAACGGCGGCCGUAACUAUAACGGUCCUAAGGUAGCGAAAUUCCUUGUCGGGUAAGUUCCGACCCGCACGAAAGGCGUAACGAUUUGGGCACUGUCUCAACGAGAGACUCGGUGAAAUUUUAGUACCUGUGAAGAUGCAGGUUACCCGCGACAGGACGGAAAGACCCCAUGGAGCUUUACUGUAGUUUGAUAUUGAGUGUCUGUACCGCAUGUACAGGAUAGGUAGGAGCCGUAGAAAUCGGAACGCUAGUUUCGAUGGAGGCGCUGGUGGGAUACUACCCCUGCGUUAUGGCCACUCUAACCCGCACCACUAAUCGUGGUGGGAGACAGUGUCAGAUGGGCAGUUUGACUGGGGCGGUCGCCUCCUAAAAGGUAACGGAGGCGCCCAAAGGUUCCCUCAGAAUGGUUGGAAAUCAUUCGAAGAGUGUAAAGGCAGAAGGGAGCUUGACUGCGAGACCAACAAGUCGAGCAGGGACGAAAGUCGGGCUUAGUGAUCCGGUGGUUCCGCAUGGAAGGGCCAUCGCUCAACGGAUAAAAGCUACCCUGGGGAUAACAGGCUUAUCUCCCCCAAGAGUCCACAUCGACGGGGAGGUUUGGCACCUCGAUGUCGGCUCGUCGCAUCCUGGGGCUGUAGUCGGUCCCAAGGGUUGGGCUGUUCGCCCAUUAAAGCGGCACGC
rnacentral:rRNA from 1 species